AGGGGUAUAGCUUAGUGGAAAAGCGUUGGUCUUCAAAACCAUAGACGUAAGUUCGAUUCUUACUACUCUU
rnacentral:tRNA from 1 species